rnacentral:lncRNA from 1 species
AGUAGUUGAGCUCCAAAUGAGCUCACCUCUCCUAUGACUCUGUAAGCUCUUAAUUUGUCCAUAGCUAUUUUCAUCUUCUGCAUUCUUUUCUUUCCUCAUUCCUCAUUUUCUACUUACAACUCGUGAUCCAAGGAAGAGCUGUGUCAUUCUGUAGAGAUAAUGAAAAAAUGCCCCAAUUAAUUUUAACUGCUACCAACAUUAUUUCAUUUUUUUCUAUCUUCUUUAAAGCAAUUCUGCACUUCUAAAACUUCUUAUUGGUUUCUGUCUCUGAAGUGGAUUGAAUCAGUAUCUUAUAUUAUUUCUUUUGGGCUAAAUCUUGGAGUCGACUCUUAUUCUUCAGCCUCCUUUCUUGUCAGGAACAUUCAGUCCUGGUCCUCUCAAGCUCUGCACAUGGAGGCUCUCCUUUCACUGCUUCCUGGGGCACUUCUGGGGAGCUCUGUAAGACCAUGGAUGCCAGCUUUAGUGCAUCAGAGAUCUGAACUGUUCAUUUUUCUCUCUCACCUGUGGAGGAGGACUCCUUAAGACCCUCACAUUACCUGGAAUAAAUGAUUUUUCUUAUCCUAGCCUUAAAUGAGCCAUCUCAGUAAUCCUUGGCAGGAGCUCAGUGGGUACUGGCAAUGCUGGUAUGGUGAGAACUUCACUGUAGCUGGGACUGUAUAGUAAAGCAAGCAUAAAGAUGAGAGUAAAUUCUCUUGAGCCUAUACAGUCUCUCAUAAAAAGCUUUCCAAAUUUCACAUCAAUCUAGGGAUCUUAUCUGAACCCUCUCCAGCCUGUUCUAAUUUUAAAAAGGUGGUGUGUUUUUUUUUAGUUGCCAACAUUAAUUCAUUUUUUAUUUCACUUACAGCCCACAUUCCCCAUUUCUAGCUGUUUGAUCAUUGCACCUAGCUCUUUAAUUAAAAGAAGGGGGAUCAAUUAAAUGGACUGCAACUGCAAAGCUGUAAAACAUGAGGUAAAUUCUUAGGUAAACUCCACCUAUUCUGUCCAAUUUCUUUUUCCGUGAAUAAAAUGGAGCAACAAACCAACCAACCA